UGAGUAUACAGGAGAGUGAGUUGCAAUGUGUAACAUUUCGUAAAGAAUUCUCGGGUGAGAUGAACAAACCGAACAAGGUAGUAAUGGAAGCUCUCGGAGAUAACAGACCUGACACUGCAUUGUGGGAAAUAUCAAGAAACGAUUGUUCGGUUGCUGCUUGCUUUACUAGAAUGAAAGUGAAAGAGACGAUUGUUGCAAGUGGUGUAUAUAACAGACUUGAUGAGAUUAGAGGUGUUGAGGAGGACAUAGAGUUGAAGUUAUCACAGACAUCACAAGUACAACA